UACGUAGGGGGCAAGCGUUGUCCGGAAUCAUUGGGCGUAAAGAGCGUGUAGGCGGCCCGGUAAGUCCGCUGUGAAAGUCCAGGGCUCAACCCUGGGAUGCCGGUGGAUACUGUCGGGCUCGAGUCCGGAAGAGGAGUGUGGAAUUCCUGGUGUAGCGGUGGAAUGCGCAGAUAUCAGGAAGAACACCCGUGGCGAAGGCGGCUCUCUGGGACGGUACUGACGCUGAGACGCGAAAGCGUGGGGAGCGAACAGG
rnacentral:rRNA from 1 species